AGCGAACGCUGGCGGCAGGCCUAACACAUGCAAGUCGAACGAUCCCUUCGGGGUUAGUGGCGGACGGGUGAGUAACACGUGGGAACGUGCCUUUAGGUUCGGAAUAACUCAGGGAAACUUGUGCUAAUACCGAAUGUGCCCUUCGGGGGAAAGAUUUAUCGCCUUUAGAGCGGCCCGCGUCUGAUUAGCUAGUUGGUGAGGUAAUGGCUCACCAAGGCUACGAUCAGUAGCUGGUCUGAGAGGAUGACCAGCCACAUUGGGACUGAGACACGGCCCAGACUCCUACGGGAGGCAGCAGUGGGGAAUCUUGCGCAAUGGGCGAAAGCCUGACGCAGCCAUGCCGCGUGGAUGAUGAAGGUCUUAGGAUUGUAAAAUCCUUUCACCGGUGAAGAUAAUGACUGUAGCCGGAGAAGAAGCCCCGGCUAACUUCGUGCCAGCAGCCGCCGUAAAAC
rnacentral:rRNA from 1 species